GAUGAACGCUGGCGGCGUGCCUAAUACAUGCAAGUCGAGCGAACGGACGAGAAGCUUGCUUUUCUGAUGUUAGCGGCGGACGGGUGAGUAACAUGUGGAUAACCUACCUAUAAGACUGGGAUAACUUCGGGAAACCGGAGCUAAUACCGGAUAAUAUUUUGAACCGCAUGGUUCAAAAGUGAAAGACGGUCUUGCUGUCACUUAUAGAUGGAUCCGCGCUGCAUUAGCUAGUUGGUAAGGUAACGGCUUACCAAGGCAACGAUGCAUAGCCGACCUGAGAGGGUGAUCGGCCACACUGGAACUGAGACACGGUCCAGACUCCUACGGGAGGCAGCAGUAGGGAAUCUUCCGCAAUGGGCGAAAGCCUGACGGAGCAACGCCGCGUGAGUGAUGAAGGUCUUCGGAUCGUAAAGCUCUGUUAUUAGGGAAGAACAUAUGUGUAAGUAACUGUGCACAUCUUGACGGUACCUAAUCAGAAAGCCACGGCUAACUACGUG
rnacentral:rRNA from 1 species